CGCAGCUGUUCUCUGUCAGUGGAGGCAGCGGCGGUAGAGGCGGCGGCGAGGACUGGCAGCGGCGAGGAGAUGGAGAAACUGACUAAAGCGCCUCGCGCGAGGUCCCUGAGGGUUCGAACCCAAGGCUGUCAGGAUCGGGAGCCCAAGUUUUCCCCAUCGUACUGGAUGUGGCUCAGCUCUGCAGGAAGCCGCGGCGUCUGCCUUCUAGUCUCACCUGUGGACACUUUGCCAAAGGAGUCGGGCCUGACGGUGGAAGAUGGGAAAUGGCCAAAAGAAUAAACCAUUUCCUCUUACUUACCGAAUGAAAAGCUUGCCUCAUCUUGGCGUUCAAGACUCUCUAGUAUGAUUUCACCUGUUGGGCUCUUUCUUCCAUUUGACCCCGCAGGUACCCUCUUCUGUGUCAGCCCCCAUAGUGAGAUUAGUCACUGCUGCCCCAAACUCACUUCUCACGGUCCCCCUCUGCUCUUGUUCUUGGUGACUUUGUUUUCUGCAGGGC
rnacentral:lncRNA from 1 species